rnacentral:rRNA from 1 species
GACGAACGCUGGCGGCGUGCUUAACACAUGCAAGUCGAACGGAAAGGCCCUGCUUUUGUGGGGUGCUCGAGUGGCGAACGGGUGAGUAACACGUGAGUAACCUGCCCUUGACUUUGGGAUAACUUCAGGAAACUGGGGCUAAUACCGGAUAGGAGCUCCUGCUGCAUGGUGGGGGUUGGAAAGUUUCGGCGGUUGGGGAUGGACUCGCGGCUUAUGAGCUUUUUGGUGGGGUAGUGGCUUACCAAGGCUUUGACGGGUAGCCGGCCUGAGAGGGUGACAGGCCCCAUUGGGCCUGGGAUACCGCCCAGACUCCUACGGGAGGCAGCGGUGGGGAAUAUUGCACAAUGGGCGGAAGCCUGAUGCAGCAACGCCGCGUGCGGAAUGACGGCCUUCGGGUUGUAAACCGCUUUCGCCUGUGACGAAGCGUGAGUGACGGUAAUGGGUAAAGAAGCACCGGCUAACUACGUG